rnacentral:rRNA from 1 species
CACUGUCACUCCUACGGGAGCAGCAGUGGGGAAUCUUGGACAAUCGGGGGGCAAACCCUGAUCCAGCCAUGCCGCGUGAGUGAUGAAGGCCUUAGGGUCGUAAAGCUCUUUCGCCUGUGAAGAUAAUGACGGUAGCAGGUAAAGAAACCCCGGCUAACUCCGUGCCAGCAGCCGCGGUAAUACGGAGGGGGUUAGCGUUGUUCGGAAUUACUGGGCGUAAAGCGCGCGUAGGCGGACCAGAAAGUUGGGGGUGAAAUCCCGGGGCUCAACCCCGGAACUGCCUCCAAAACUCCUGGUCUUGAGUUCGAGAGAGGUGAGUGGAAUUCCGAGUGUAGAGGUGAAAAUUCGUAGAUAUUCGGAGGAACACCAGUGGCGAAGGCGGCUCACUGGCUCGAUACUGACGCUGAGGUGCGAAAGUGUGGGGAGCAAACAGGAUUAGAUACCCUGGUAG